UCAUUUCAACUGCUGUGGAAGGCAUUGAUACUUUUUUUAAAUAUAUAUUUUAAAAUUUAUUAAGUGUUGGGUAAUUGGGUUAGGAUUAUCAAUAUUUAUACGAAGUCUUAGGUAUUAUUUCACUUGACCCCACACCCUUUUGAGCCCCAUAAUCUCUCUUUUCAGAGCUUUCACUUGUUUCGAUAUAUUUAGAAAUGGUUCAUCACUUUUCAACUUGUCUAUUUAUUUUAGGGACUUUGCCCCCUGAUAUCUUAAGCAAUGUUCUUGGGCAAUUACUCCCACACCUUUAUACUUUCUCAAUAUCAUUUUGAUCCUUUUAGGAAGUUUUAUAUAUAAUGAGGUAAUGUCGAUUGGAAAAUUAUUUACUGUCUCAUAACCAUAAGGGAGAUAUAAAAAACUUCAAAACAAUAAAUGGGCGUGGUAGAGAAAAAAAAAAUCUUCAGUAGAUUAAGACAAUUAUUGAAUUUGCUCACUUUUUCAAACUUACGUGAGAGCUAUGGUCCCAACGUUUUAUGUGGUUUUUGUCUGGCUUAUAAAUGAUUCAAAAAGACGAAAAAGAGAGUAGAGCUGGCAGAAGAGGAGUAUUUGUCUAUCCAAUCUUGGAUGGUUGUUUGAUUUAACCUAUGCUCAUGACCACUCGAUUCGUAAAGAGAUCACCAGGUCGAUGAUAGAUUCGUCACAUUUUCCUUUCUUUUGAAGGAGAAGAUUGGCAUGGAGGAAUGAGCUGGCUGGUUAGAGAUUUCAGAGGUAGUACAUUGCGAGAGGUUGCAGUUUUAUUUACUACAGAUACCCAGUAAAAGUACCGCUUGAAGCCAAAGUCGUCCUGGAAGGUUCAAGAGAGUUGGAGGCUCUUUUGGAAGGGUAGAAAUCUCCGAUCCUGGUGAUUUUGGUUGGAAUCAUUUACUCUUGAAGUUAAUCUUUUCAACAGUUUAGAUUCGGAACUUUCAAUAGUCUCUUUUUUCGUUGAAGAGUCACACACUCUCUUGCUUACUUGUGAAUUAUAUUAUUAUGGCUUUUGUCAAAAUUUCAAGAGAGGGAAACAAAGGUGUUAAUGAUCACAGCUUUGACUUUUUUUUCUUCAAUUGUUUCUUUGGUGUGGCUUCACUCUUGACUCUCGUUCAAUGAAAGGUCCUUUUAGCUGUCAUAGUUAAUGAGAAAUAAAAUCACUUUAGGUGU